AAAGGUAUUUUAAAAAUAUUUUUCAAUUGAAGAAAACGUUUGAUGAUUCUAGUAAAAAUAAUCAAGGGACUAAUUUCUCUCCGGUUCUCGUAUUUACAGCAAAACUCCGAAGGAGGAGCUCCCGCACAAAUCUCCCCAGCGUCAGACCACCAAUGCAGAACUCUGCAGGCAGCUGGAGGAGAGCCACAGGAGAAUCGAAACUUUGGAACAACAGUUGCAGUUGGAGAAAGACGAGUAUAAGAGCCUCCUCUGCAGAGUUCUGCAGCACGCUGGGGAGAAAAGGGAGCUCCUCACGGAGAUUAAAACCCUCCAAGAACAGCUGGAGAGGAAUUCAAAAACAUUUCAACAAAUGGUGGAGGAAAGACUUAAUUUAAAAAAAGAAAAUCAAGAAUUAAAAUUGAAGAACUGGAAGUUGAGCGAGGAGAAGGCGACCAUCCUGCGAAAUUUCAGGGAGAGGCUGAGGAGGUGAGAAGCAGGUAGACAGCAGCCCUGACUGAGGGAGGGAGAGGACCAGGAUUCCCUGAAGCAGCUUGGUUGAAGCAGGAUUCCAGGGUGAAGAACCUGCCCUAUAAGGGAUGGAGGGAGAGAGGACAAUUAGAACGGGGAGGCCACA